rnacentral:lncRNA from 1 species
AUGAACGACAAGCAGGAAUUUCCGGACUUCAGAGACUUUGUUAAUUUCAUGCUAAAUGAGGCAGAAAUCGCCUGCAACCCCAUAACCUCAUUUCAUGCUCUCCAUUCAUCAGGGCCACGCACAGAGAAACACCAUCUUAAAGAAAGAAACACUAAAUCCAGUGUAGUCCACACACAGACAGUAACAGAGACUGGGAAUCAAGGGCAGUUGAGGUCUGGUUUAAAGGCUCCAUGCAUGCUAUGCCAAGACAGUAAACAUCGUCUGCACUGCUGUCCCAUGUUCAAGGAGAAGUCUCUGGAUGAAAGAAGGAAAAAUGUGAAAGAAAGGAAACUGUGCUAUGGUUGUCUGAAGCCGGGCCAUAGUGCAAAGGACUGCCGGCACAGACACUCAUGCGACAUCUGCAAGGGAAGACAUCCAACGUAUCUCCAUGAUGACAACUAUACCAAAUUCAAAACACCUACAGUCUCAAACCAGAGCCACACAGAUGAAUCAGCUACCACAUUGUCUCUCAGUGUGAACACUGAAGAGCCGUUCUCCAACACCUCCAUGAUUGUACCAGUAUGGCUGUCUUCAGUUAGUGAUCCAGGUAUGGAAAAACUUGUUUAUGCCCUGCUCGACACACAAAGUGAUACGGUUUUUGUUGACCAAGAAAUUAGUCAUAGCUUACAAACCAAGACCCAUCCUGUGAGACUGAAACUCACCACCAUGAUUGGAGGAAAUGCAUUAAGGAACAGCGAAAGGAUUUCAGGUCUCAGAGUGAGAGGCUAUAACUCCACGAUCCUCAUUGAUUUGCCACCUGCUUACACCAAGGAUUGCAUACCAAUAAAUCGAACACACAUUCCUACCUGUGAAACGGCAAGACACUGGAAUCAUCUUAGUAAAAUAGCUGAUGAAAUUCCACCACAGCUAGAUUGUGAGGUUGGCCUGUUAAUAGGCUAUAACUGUUCAAGGGCACUGGCACCACAGCAAGUAAUCUUGGGAAAGGAUAAUGAACCUUAUGCAGUUCUCACAGAUCUGGGGUGGAGCAUUGUGGGUUGUUCACCAUCUAACCACGACACGCCAAGCAAUACCAACAUGUGCCACAGAGUUGCAGUCAAGGAGCUUCCCUUAGUGACUCCAUCGGAUGUUAUUAAGUUACUCGAGUCUGACUUCAAGGAUACUAGUAAGGAUGACAAGACGGUGUCUCAAGAUGACAUCACGUUCCUGAACAUGUUAAAGGAGGGCAUUAAGGAAAAGAUUCACGGCCAUUAUGAGAUGCCACUACCCUUUAAGCAGAGGCCGCAUCUCCCUAACAAUAAACAACUAGCCAUUGUCCGGCUCAGUCAUCUUAAAAGAAAACUGUUAAAGAAUGACAAGUCCACAGGACACAGCACUGUACAGGAGCGAGAGGAAGCAAGGUGUAUAAUUGUUAGAGACUUACAGAUACAAGUAUAUACAGAGGAGAUUAAGUUGCUCAGAAAGGGAGCUAAAAUUCCAUCUAAGAGUAAGCUGUACCAUUUGGAUGUCUUUCUUGAUGAAGAUGGAAUCCUCAAGGUGGGAGGAAGACUGAAAAAUGCAUGUCUCCCUACUUCACAGAAACAUCCUAUGAUUAUUCCAAGGGAUCAUCACAUCACCAAGAUGAUUAUUUCUCAUCAUCAUGAACAAGUCAGACAUCAAGGAAAGGGCCUGACGAUCAAUCGGAUCAGAUCGAAUGGAUAUUGGAUUCCAGGAAUCAAUAGGACUGUUGCAACACUUAUUCAUCAGUGUGUCAAAUGCCGGAAGAUUUACAGAGGAGCAGCGAAUGGCAGAUCUGCCAUCAGAGCGUGUAGAUCCAUCACCACCAUUCACCUACUGCGGAAUGGACUGCUUUGGUCCAUUUUUCACUAA